UUAGGCAUCUAAAGCCUUCACAUUUGGGAGUGGAAGGACUCCUUGCAUAUUUGUGUUGUAAAACUUGCAUGCGUAUGUAGUUUAUGAAGUGUCGUAUGGUUGGUUAAUGCUAGCUAGACUCGUCACAUGCUAUAUGUGUUUUACAAACUCUUGAAAACUUGUGAGAUCCCUUUUAUCUAAAUGAUAGUGUGCAUAGCUAGAUGUUUCCAUCUUGUGUUGGUCCUCCACUUAUUGCUUCUUGUAUGCUGGAGUUUUUCCACUCAUUAAUGUAAAUAUUUUCCCUAUAAGAAAAUUGAAUCAGAUAUUCAGAUAGUUGAAUAUACUUUACAUAAUUGUUUUCCUCACCAACAUAAUGAUUUUAGGUAAAUGUGUUUUUAUUGAUUUUGGACUAGUUAAAAGUUAAAUGUAUCCAUAUGAUAGUCAAUGCCUCCCGUUGGGUAUAAAACUAUAACUAGAUUGUACUUUGGAGUGGAUUUCUUUUCUGUUUACUUUAUAUUUUAACUAUUUCAAUACAUUUUCUCUUUAUAAAUGAAGCAUAAACUGCUAUCUGCAGUCCGACAUAUGCUAAUUUGGUGGCAACAUGUGGUGGAGAUGAAGGAGAAUUUAUAUAGAAGAUUGGUCAAGGUGAUUCUAGUUUAAAGUUAUUAGAAGAUCACAGAGAUUUUGUUUAGUUUGGCUUUUAGUCCUGAUGGUCAGUUGCCUUCUCCUGAAAGCAUUGAUGGGCAUAUGAGAGUGGGACACAACUUCAGGUAGUCUGAAGGGCAAACUUGAAGGUCCUAAAAGGGAAAUUCAAGUGAAACAUUUUCUUAUGCCUAAGAAAUUCAUCUUUGCAUGACAAUUUGAGAUCCAGGGGUCUGGUAACAUCAAGAAGACAUGGUGUUGGCUAGUGCAGAGUAUCCUGUUGUUUUGAUAUGGAAUGAUGGUAUCCGAGAGGACACGAGGCAAUGGUUUCUGAGAGGAUAUUGAUAUGUACUCUAUGAUGUUUAGAGAUUUGAUAUAUGGAAGAUUAUUGAAAUGAGAACAAGAUUAGCUUUUACCUUCUCAAAAAAAAGAAGAUUAGCUUUUGGAAUCAAGUGGAGUAAUUUUUUUCAUGUUAUGUUGUUGACAUUAAGAUUAUGAAUGAAUAGUUAUUUUUUUUUGUUUA